rnacentral:lncRNA from 1 species
GUCAUGCUGUGUGCGGCCAGCACCCUUUAAUGGCAUCAGGAAAUUGGAAACAGCAGCACACGCGCUUGUAAAAUUCACCAGUUUGCCGAUCACUGCCACGCAUUAGAUGCUGGCUAUUUUGUCGACAAAGCAUUAGCCUCCUUUGUGCGGUGAGUGCAGCCACGUUCAACAUUUGGAUACUGUCUAUAUUCCCAGGGCUGGUCUGUUUCCGUUUUUGCACCAGGAGCUGAUGUGGCUGCAAGUAAGGCUUGCCUGGUGAGGGGCGGGGAGUCUGCUUUGUGGGGAGCCAAAAGUUGAUGGGCGCUCUAGGGCAGACCUCCCUGUUUCGUUUUUUCCCCCCUUUUCUCCUCUCUGCCUGUGCAGGGCAUUUCCUGGGUGUUGAGUUCUUUUCUCAUUUUGCUUGAUGCUAACAGCGUUUUGAAAAGGCAAUUUCCCCAGCUUACUUAGGAACGCACUGGGGAUAUUGUGAUAGCAAUGUUUCCAAUCAGUGCAACCCUUUCAGCCAUAUUAUAUUUUUUUAAUGUUUAUUUAUUUAUUUUUGAGAGAGAGAAAGAGAGAGCAAGCAGGGGAGGAGCAGAGAGAGAGAGAGAGAGAGAGAGAGAGAGAGAGAAUCCCAGGUAGGUGCUGCACAGUCAGCACAGAGCCCAACUUGGGGCUCGAUCCCACGAACCGUGAGAUCAUGACCUGAGCCAAGAUCAAAAGUCAGUCUCUUAACUGACCGGGCCACCCAGGUGCCCCUCGGCCAUAUUUUUAAGACUUUUGGAGCGGUGGAUUCACGGAAGAUGAAUUGAAAAGAUUGAAGGAACGGUUUCCCUCCCAGCAGUUAUGCAAUGCAACACAGUCAAAUUCUGAGUUUCUAAGUCUAUCCUCCCUGAAAAAUACCUCCAUGAAAUUAAACUAUCCUCCUUAUGUCUUUGUCUUAGGGCUGCUAGAUAAAAUAUAGGAUAUCCAGCCGAAUUUGAUUUUCAGAUAAACGACAAAAAACAUUUUAAUGCCAGCGUCUCCAACAACGCACCCUGCUUUUCUCCACCAAGCCAGUCGCUCCCUGACUUCCGGUCGGAUGGGCCGGUCCCGGGAAGGGCAAGUCGGGUCAGCGCCUUUUUGCCGCAGGGUGUAGAUGACAGCGCCCUUGCCAGUUUGGACAGAUGGCCCGUUAGUUGCUUUUCUCGAGGACAGGGCAGUUUUUACUCUGGUGAGGCUGUUUGGGAGCCCAGCAAGGGAAGAUCUGGAACGUUCUCAUCUCCAGUGUGGACAAAGUGCCUGGAUCCGGAGCCUGGCUACGGUCGAGAAGGAAAGAGGAACCAGAUGAAGUCACGAGGGCAGAUUUCGCUACACGGGCAAACGGCGGAGCCCCUGUGCACCCGAAAUCCCGGUUCCUCGUUCUCACACGCGCGUGCGCACCCGCCUGACUCCUCUAUCCUCCAGCCGACCUUUUAAAAACAGUUCGGGGGGCGCCUGGGUGGCGCAGUCGGUUAAGCGCCCGACUUCAGCCAGGUCACGAUCUCGCGGUCCGUGAGUUCGAGCCCCGCGUCGGGCUCUGGGCUGAUGGCUCAGAGCCUGGAGCCUGCUUCCGAUUCUGUGUCUCCCUCUCUCUCUGCCCUCCCCCAUUCAUGCUCUGUCUCUCUCUGUCCCAAAAAUAAAUAAAAAACGUUGAAAAAAAAAAAUAAAAAC